GCUGGGGUAGCAAAGUUUGGUCAAAUGUGACAGCUUCAGGGGCUGUUCUCUUAGGAGUUCGAGAGUUCAAAUCUCUCCCCCAGCA
rnacentral:tRNA from 1 species